UGCCAGCCGCCGCGGUAAUACGGAGGGUGCAAGCGUUAUCCGGAUUUAUUGGGUUUAAAGGGUCCGCAGGCGGGAUUCUAAGUCAGUGGUGAAAGCCUACAGCUCAACUGUAGAACUGCCAUUGAUACUGGAAUUCUUGAGUGUGGUUGAAGUAGACGGAAUAUGUCAUGUAGCGGUGAAAUGCAUAGAUAUGACAUAGAACACCAAUUGCGUAGGCAGUUUACUAAACCAUUACUGACGCUCAUGGACGAAAGUGUGGGGAGCGAACAGGAUUAGAUA
rnacentral:rRNA from 1 species